GAGUUUGAUCAUGGCUCAGAACGUACGCUGGCGGCACGCCUAACACAUGCAAGUCGAACGAAGUAGCAAUACUUAGUGGCAGACGGGUGAGUAACAUGUAGGUAUCUGCCCUUUGGCCUGGAAUAACACGAGGAAACUUGUGCUAAUACCGGAUAAGUCUUUACGGAGAAAGCUUUAUGCACCAUUGGAUGAGCCUGCACUUGAUUAGUUUGUUGGUGGGGUAAUGGCCUACCAAGACUGUGAUCAAUAGCUGAUUUGAGAGGAUGAUCAGCCACAUUGGGACUGAGACACGGCCCAAACUCCUACGGGAGGCAGCAGUGGGGAAUCUUGCACAAUGGAGGAAACUCUGAUGCAGCGAUGCCGCGUGAGUGAAGAAGGCCCUUGGGUUGUAAAGCUCUUUCGUCGGGGAAGAAAAUGACUGUACCCGAAUAAGAAGGUCCGGCUAACUUCGUGCCAGCAGCCGCGGUAAUACGAAGGGACCUAGCGUAGUUCGGAAUUACUGGGCUUAAAGAGUUCGUAGGUGGUUGAAAAAGUUAGUGGUGAAAUCCCAGAGCUUAACUCUGGAACUGCCAUUAAAACUUUUCAGCUAGAGUAUGAUAGAGGAAAGCAGAAUUUCUAGUGUAGAGGUGAAAUUCGUAGAUAUUAGAAAGAAUACCAAUUGCGAAGGCAGCUUUCUGGAUCAUUACUGACACUGAGGAACGAAAGCAUGGGUAGCGAAGAGGAUUAGAUACCCUCGUAGUCCAUGCCGUAAACGAUGUGUGUUAGACGUUGGAAAUUUAUUUUCAGUGUCGCAGGGAAACCGAUAAACACACCGCCUGGGGAGUACGACCGCAAGGUUAAAACUCAAAUGAAUUGACGGGGACCCGCACAAGUAGUGGAGCAUGUGGUUUAAUUCGAAGAUACGCGCAGAACCUUACCAACACUUGACAUGUUCGUCGCGACUCUAAGAGAUUAGAGUUUUCGGUUCGGCCGGACGAAACACAGGUGCUGCAUGGCUGUCGUCAGCUCGUGUCGUGAGAUGUUGGGUUAAGUCCCGCAACGAGCGCAACCCUCACUUUUAGUUGCCAUCAUUAAGUUGGGCACUCUGAAAGAACUGCCAGUGAUAAGCUGGAGGAAGGUGGGGAUGACGUCAAGUCCUCAUGGCCCUUACGUGUUGGGCUACACACGUGCUACAAUGGUAUCUACAACAGGAAGCAAGACUGCGAAGUUAAGCAAAUCCCUAAAAGAUACCUCAGUUCGGAUUGCACUCUGCAACUCGAGUGCAUGAAGCUGGAAUUACUAGUAAUCGUGGAUCAGCGUGCCACGGUGAAUGCGU
rnacentral:rRNA from 1 species